AAAAAAUUCAUAUUACUAGAAUACAUUGGUAUCGAAGGAACUAGAUUCUGUUCCGAAAUAUCACUUACCCGAACCGUCCUGACCGCGUAGCUCAGUUGGAAGAGCAUUGGGCUAGCAUUCCAAAGGUCGUAGGUUCGAAUCCCACCGUGGCCGGGCAUAUUUUUCAAGCUUGUCCGGUGUGGAUAUGCACUCAGAGUAACAUCGCAAACAUAUUAUUCACCUGAGUACACAACACCAACACAGAAAAAAAAUAUUCAUUUUUUCCUAAAAAUCAGCCUUUCGCAUGCUUAAUUAAUGCCUUUGCCUAAUUUGCAUAUUGCUGACAUAUGCAAAUUAGGCAAAGGCAUAAUUAAGCAUGCAAAAGGCUGAUU